rnacentral:miRNA from 1 species
UUCUAUAACCGAUCUUAAAAGUACUUUUAAGAUCGGUUCUUUUGUAACCGAUCUUAAAAGUACUUUUAAGAUCGGUUAAAUUU